rnacentral:misc_RNA from 1 species
GAUGAAGAACGUAGCGAAAUGCGAUACUUGGUGUGAAUUGCAGAAUCCCGUGAACCAUCGAGUCUUUGAACGCAAGUUGCGCCCGAAGCCAUUAGGCCGAGGGCACGCCUGCCUGGGCGUCACACGUCGUUGCCCCCCCAUCUACUCCUUCGGGAUUGCGGGGGGCGGAUGAUGGCCUCCCGUGCGCCUCGUCGCGCGGUUGGCAUAAAUGCCAAGUCCUCGGCGACGCACGCCACGACAAUCGGUGGUUGCGAAACCUCGGUUGCCCGUCGUGUGCGGUCGUCGCGCAUCGAGGGCUCGAAAAAAUUGUCGGGCUCCGGCUCGGCUUUCAACGCGACCCCAGGUCAGGCGGGGUUACCCGCUGAAUUUAAGCAUAUCAAGCGGAGGA